rnacentral:rRNA from 1 species
CAUUCAAAUUUCUGCCCUAUCAGCUUUCCAUGGUAGUGUAGUGGCCUACCAUGGCGCUCACCGGUGACGGAGAAUUAGGGUUCGAUUCCGGAAAGGGAGCCUUAAAAACGGCUACCACAUCCAAGGAAGGCAGCAGGCGCGCAAAUUACCCAAUCCUAAUACGGGGAAGUAGUGACAACAAAUAACAAUACUGGGCCUUUCACGGUCUGGUAAUUGGAAUGAGUACAAUUUAAAUCCCUUAACGAGGAUCCAUUAGAGGGCAAGUCUGGUGCCAACAGCCGCGGUAAUUCCAGCUCUAAUAACGUAUAUUAAAAUUGNUGCUAAAAAGCUCGUANUUGGAUUUCUGGUGUGGUGCGCNCGGUCCGCCGGCCCAUUCNUUUGGGUUCCCUCGGUGUGUAC